rnacentral:rRNA from 1 species
AGCAGCCACCUUUUAAAAAGCGUUAAAGCUUCAUUACUAGUGCAAAAAAAUUUCAUUAACCAACUAAAACCCCUAAACCCCUACUGAAUGAAUUCAUAAUUUUAUGAAAACCUAUCUGUUAAAACUAGUAACAAGAAGAAGACCUUCUCCAAAAUGCAAGUAUAAGCCGCAAUGAACAAGUCAUCGGCACUUAAAGCCUGUAAUCUACCAGUAGCAACCCACCAAGAAAACCCUACUGAUUACAGCGUUAACCUUACACAAGCACAUUUUUGGAAAGAUUAAAAAAACAGGAAGGAACUCGGCAAAUUUUUAACCCCGCCUGUUUACCAAAAACAUCGCCUCUUGGAAUCCCAUAAGAGGUCCAGCCUGCCCAGUGACAAAGUUAAACGGCCGCGGUACCCUAACCGUGCAAAGGUAGCGCAAUCACUUGUUCUUUAAAUGAGGACUAGUAUGAAUGGCAUCACGAGGGUUAAGCUGUCUCCCUGCUUUAAUCAGUAAAACUGAUUUUCCCGUGAAGAAGCGGGAAUAAACCUAUAAGACGAGAAGACCCCAUGGAGCUUAAAACUUAGUAUCACCUGCUACAUACACAUCUAAUAAAAAAUGCAACGCUGAUUUCUAGUUUUCGGUUGGGGUGACCACGGAGUAAAAUUAAACCUCCGCAACGAAAGGACCUAGCUUCCUAACCUAAGAGCUACAGCUCUAAGAAUCAACAAAUUGACUAAACUGACCCAAUUAAUUGAUCAAUGAACCAAGUUACCCUGGGGAUAACAGCGCAAUCCAUUUCAAGAGCCCUUAUCGACAAAUGGGUUUACGACCUCGAUGUUGGAUCAGGGCAUCCAAGUGGCGCAGCCGCUACUAACGGUUC